rnacentral:rRNA from 1 species
UACGAAGGGGGCGAGCGUUGUUCGGAUUUACUGGGCGUAAAGGGCGCGCAGGCGGUCUUGUUUGUCGAGUGUGAAAGCCCCGGGCUCAACCUGGGAACGGCGCUCGAAACGGCGGGACUAGAGAUCGGGAGAGGAGCGUGGAAUUCCCAGUGUAGAGGUGAAAUUCGUAGAUAUUGGGAAGAACACCGGUGGCGAAGGCGGCGCUCUGGACCGAGACUGACGCUGAGGCGCGAAAGCGUGGGGAGCAAACAGG